ensembl:snoRNA
GCUGAGGUCUAUCCCAAUGGAACUUCUAUAGCCACACGUCAUUAGAAACCCCUCAUAGAAUAACUCUGUGGCUUUGUUUUACUCAAGGAACUACUUAUCAGAUAGUGGGGAAAAAACCACAAAACAGUU